rnacentral:piRNA from 1 species
UGCCAUUUCAGGACAUGUUCUGUGCAGC